rnacentral:misc_RNA from 1 species
GAAAUGCGAUAAUUAAUGUGAAUUGCAGAAUUCAGUGAAUCAUCGAGUCUUUGAACGCACAUUGCGCCCCCUGGUAUUCCGGGGGGCAUGCCUGUCCGAGCGUCAUUGCUGCCCUCAAGCACGGCUUGUGUGUUGGGCUUCCGUCCCUGGCAACGGGGACGGGCCCAAAAGGCAGUGGCGGCACCAUGUCUGGUCCUCGAGCGUAUGGGGCUUUGUCACCCGCUCCCGUAGGUCCAGCUGGCAGCUAGCCUCGCAACCAAUCUUUUUAACCAGGUUGACCUCGGAUCAGGUAGGGAUACCCGCUAAACUUAAGC